GAUGAACGCUAGCUACAGGCUUAACACAUGCAAGUCGAGGGGCAGCAUGUCGGUUGCUUGCAACCGAUGAUGGCGACCGGCGCACGGGUGAGUAACGCGUAUCCAACCUUCCCCUUAGUAGGGCAUAGCCCGGCGAAAGUCGGAUUAAUACCCUAUGUUGUUCGUCGAGGACAUCUGAAGUGAACCAAAGAUUUAUCGCUAAGGGAUGGGGAUGCGUCUGAUUAGGCAGCAGGCGGGGUAACGGCCCACCUGGCCCACGAUCAGUAGGGGUUCUGAGAGGAAGGUCCCCCACAUUGGAACUGAGACACGGUCCAAACUCC
rnacentral:rRNA from 1 species